rnacentral:tRNA from 1 species
GUUAACGUAGCUUAAUUAAAAGCAUAANANUGAAGUUGUUAAGAUAAGUCCUAGUUAGACUUCGUAGACA